ACGGUUAUCGGGCGCUCCGUUACCGGUGAUCACUGGUUACCGGGCGGAGUUGGUAUUUAAGGAAUCCACCCCGGCAACACCCGAAAACUGGCCCAAUAGAACCAUCCAGAAGCCUUUUAUUCAAAGGGAACUCCUCGUCAGUUCUGCCGAUCGAUUUUUCAUCUGAUCAUCUCAACUCCAAACCCUAAGGCUCUUCCAAUUCUCCUCGAUUCUCGCACUUUUCAUCUCGAUUUAGGGAAUUUCGGCGAUAAUCUCUGCAUUCAUUUGUGAAAUAAGGAGAUUAGCCAAUGAAUCUAUGAAAACCUUUCGAAUUCGUCGGCAAACAUCCCUUUUUGAUUGGCGAUUACGACUGAGAAUCUUCAAUUUCCAUUCAACCAUUCUUCAACCUUUUUCAUUUUGACCUUCCUACUUCUGCGUAAAAUAUUCUAAGACUCACUAACCAAUUGUUCUUCCUCUGUUCCUCACAUACAGAUCCACACUUUCUCAAAAAUCAUAAUCAAGAAGUAGGCGAUUCACAAUUGCAACUCUGCAACUGCAAGUAAGCGUAAAGUGUUCUAGACUUCUACUGUCUUUUUAUUCAUCGAUUACAUAAUUAUGAAGUCUGGAUUGUCUUAAACCCUUAUCUAUAUAUGAUUUCUGUUUAUGUAGGUUGCAACUUCCCCAACCCAAGUUCCAGUGUUCCAUUAAUCAUUAACAAAGGUAAACUAAACAGCUGAUUUUUUUGAGUUUAGGGUUAUAUCAAAUAUGCAGUUAAUUCAUGAGUUUCUGACUGAGUUGUUUCAUUUAUCAAAUUGUGUCAAUGGAAGCCCUACAAUGACAUGUUUAUCCUGAUGUUCCUCUUAACCUUGAAGCUCCACCCAACCCCUUGUCCUUCAACCCCCUUUGAAAAAUGCAGCUGAACCCCAAAAAGCAUUAAUGGUGAUGCACCAGUCAAUCAAAAUGAUGUUGGGGAUGAACCUGAACCACUAGCCUUUAGGGCCAAACAUCAUUUGAAAAGUGAUGUUUGGCCUCAUUUGAUUAGAUUUUUAGACAUAAAUGAUGUUAUAAAGGCCAAAAGAAAAUAUUGCCGUAAAAUUCUUGGGUGAGACACUAGCAAUGGUACCUCUCGUUUGAGGAACCAUAAAAAAGUUGGUGUUCAGAAACAAAUUCACGAUGGUAGGCUGAAAAAUCAUGCUACUAAUUUCCUUCCUAAUGGGGUUAUUGGUAAGAAGGAGAUAUGUACUGGUCAAUACAAUUCAAAGGUCUCUAGGAGGGAGCUUGGUACAAUGACUUUGAUGCAUGAAUAUCCACUAGCAAUGGUGGAUCACUUAUACUUCAAAUUUUUUUGUUCUUCCCUGCAACCUUUAUGUACAGUGCCAUGUAGAAACACUGUGAAGAAGAACCUCCUUAUGAUGUUUGAGGUGGAGAAGAAGAAGAUGCAAAAAAUUAUUGAAGGUAACAAGGGUAGGAUUUCUAUCACCACAUAUAUGUGGACAAUAACUAAUCAAAACAAGGUUACAUGGCUGUAACUUGUCACUAUGUUGACAACCACUGGAACCUGUGGAACCAUUUGCUAGGUAACUAACUCUAGCUUCAAUAGUUCAAUUGUUUACUUUAGGGUUUAGGGUCCUUCAUUUUAAUGGUAAUCACAACUUUUGACUUGACCCUAAAUGGUCUUUAUUUGAAUGUUGUCCUUUGUUGGUUUCUGUACGUCCCUGCUUCGCGUAGCAGUGAAAAGCUGGAAAUUGUAUUUUGUUCCACUCUCAUGACUUGGAAUGUGGAUAUUAAGUUAUCCAUUAUUACUCUUGACAACUGCUCUACGAAUGAUGCUAUGAUAGCUACGAUGAAAAGGAAGUUGUUCUUGUCUUAUUUGAUUAAGAAUCGUUCCUUGUUGCAUAUGAGGUGCUCUGCUCGUGUCUUGAAUUUGAUUAUUAAAGAUAAAUUAGACAUUAUCAAAGAGGGAAUUGAUAAGAUUAAGGAGAGUGUGGUUUACUGGACUGCCACUCCUAGGAGAGUUGAAUUCUUUGAGAAAACUGUUAGGUAGAGAAAUGUACCAAUUGGUACAAAACUUGUUCUUAACUGCCUUAUUAGGUGGAACUCCACCUAUAUAAUACUUCAAUAUUCUAUUCCAUAAAAGAGUGUGUUUAAUCAUUUGAGUCAGAGAGAGCAGAACUACACCUCUGUUCCUAACAGUGAUGAUUGGUUAUUUGCUACUGUAGUAAAUGAAAACCUUCAAAUUUUCAACACUAUUUUGAAGUUUUUUUCUGGAAACAAGCAUCCUAAUACUAAUAUCUUCUUUUCAAAGGUUUGUGAUUUGAAGUUGAGAAUAUUGGAAUGGAAAUCUGAUUCCAAUCCCAUCAUUGUUGCAAUGGCUAAAAGCAUUUGGGCUAAGUUAAGCAAAUACUUGACUGAUAUUCAUCUUCUACUUGCUAUUGCUACUGUUCUUGAUCCUAAAUACAAGUUGGCAUUCUAUGACCACUAUGCUGUUAAGUUCAAUCAUUUGAAUGCAACUCUAGAACCUGAAUAUGUUAAGGGUGUUGUUUACAACUUGGUUCGUGAGUAUGAACAGAAACAUGGUUAUGUUGACAAUGAUGACUCUAGCUCUGGUAAUGUGGCAGUUAAUGCUGUGGAAAUUGAUAUUGAUUUCGAGCUCUAUUUGAGUCGAAGGAAAAGGUCUCGAACCACAUCAAUUAACUCUGAGUUAGACCAUCACCUAUCUUAGGGUGUCAAUCCUCGAUUUAAAAAUGUUGGGGUGUUAGAUUGGUGGAGAGUAAAUGAGGACAAGUUCCCUUUGUUGGCUGAGGUUGCUAGGGAUUUGUUGGUUGUCCCUGUCACUUAUUUGGCAUUUGAAUAAGGUUUUAGUUCUGGUGGGAGGCUACUGGUUCCACACCGUAGUAGGUUGCAUUUUGGAACUGUGGAGGCUUUGAUGUGCACCCGGACUUGGAUCAUGGACGACAUUAUCAAAGGUAUAAUACUCUGUUUCCUUGUCUUUCUUUUACAAUCUAAACUAACAUAAAAAUAGUAACAUAGUAACUUGGUUCAUGUGUGCUUGCAGAUGCUGGAAAGCCUAACAUUCAAGACUUGGAGAGUUUCUUUUCUUCUUUUGCAAUGGAUGAUGCUAGCUGUGAAGAUUUUGAGAAGGGAGUUUACUAUAGUAUUCCUUGUUUAUGCUUCCAACUCUUUAGGUAUCUCAGUUAGGCUAAACAAGUUUACGUUUGGAAUUUGACUUGUUCAAUACUUGAAUGUUCAUGAGUUCAUCCACAUUCAACAGAUCUUCAAGGUGAUGGAGGUAGUCAAGGAGGAGGUCUCCCAUAGUCAUACAUGCACAUUCAAGACUAACCAUGUAAGUAACGGAGUAUUAUGUAUUCAUCUUGGUUCUUGAAAGCUGUUGUGAUUGGUUCUUAAAAGCUAUUAGUUUAUUGUGCAGAUACCUGCUGCUUGUUGAAUGCAUGAAUGGUGAAGGAUUGAUAGGCUGAAUGGUGAAGGAUUGAAGCUAUUGUUGCUUACUGCUUAGUGCUAUUUCAUUCCAUUUUCUUGUAUGAAUUGGGUUAUGAACUGAAUUCUAUAGACUUGUGUUGGAUUGAUCAUUUGAUCAAUUUUCUGUUUUUGGAGACUUGUUUGAGUGUUUUAGUCACAUUUUUUUAUUAUAAACUUGUUUUGGAGAUUAUUCUAAAUGAAAUUGAGGUUUUUUCUGCAUUUUUUUUGUUGUUUUUGCAAGUUUUAGUUAAUAACGAAUCCGGUAUCUGCCGGAUCCUUGACGGGAAGAAAAUUGACCCCGUUAGUGACUAACGACCAGUUUCGAGGAAAACCGUCAAGGGUAACGGACG
rnacentral:lncRNA from 1 species